rnacentral:lncRNA from 1 species
AGUAGCCCCAAAAUGACUGACGCCCAUGUCCUGAAAAAACCAUCAAAGUCAGAGGAGCUCAUGUGUAGUGUCAUCAAGAGCACGAUACUCAGUCUCAAUGCUAGAAUGAGCAAUAAGAGUCUGCUUCUUACUACGUCAAAAGAUAAGGGAGUCGCCUAGAAGAAGCAAAAACCGGUGGUAAAACGUUGAUCGGUAGGAUCCCUAGCCUAAUCAGCAUCAGAAUAGGCAUGUAGCUGAAGGGAGGACUAACGGGAGAAAUGUAGACCAUGAAAGAGGGUGCCCUUGACAUACCAGAGGAUGCGAAGUACGACAACAUAGUAAGUGGAGCGAGGUGCAGACAUGAACUGACUAACAAGAUGAACACAUGAACAAUGUCAGGACGAGUAACAGUCAGAUAAAUAAGACUGCCGACGAUCUAUCUAUAUAGGGUAGCAUCAGAUAACAGUUCACCGUCAAGAGAAGUAAGGCGAGCAUUAGCUUCCAGAGGGGUAGAGGCAGUCUUACAAUCUGAAAAUCCAGCACGGGUAAGAAGAUCAGAGGCAUACUGGGCCGAGUAAAAGAAUAUCCAAUAGAGCCAGAUGAAACUUUAAGACCAAGGAAGUAGCUCAAGGGACCAAGAUAUUUAUCUCAAAGUGGAGAUGAAGGAAGUCCUGGAGCUCAGGAGAUACCAUGAAACAUCAUCUCCGGUAAUAAUCAAUCAUCCACAUAGAGAAUAAGGGACAAUGCCCUGAGAAAACUGAAGAGUAAAGAGAGACAGAGUCUAGGCACUAGCAGAGAGCCAAGAUCAUAGAUGGUAGAACUAAAGUGGCAUACCAGGCACGUGGAGCUGCUUAGACCAAAAGAGCACACGAAGCCGACAUACCUGAGUGAAAAGGAUGAAGAACAGGGGGAAGCUUCAAUUUAACUGUCCUCGUAGAUCACCAUUGAGAAACAUCAUUCUUAACAGCCAUCUUACACACAGGGACAAACCACGAGGCCGAUCAACAGCAUAAGACUCCCUUAUAGAGGUAGUCCUGGCAACGGAGUCAACGUCUUGCUCAUAGUCAAUAUCAUACUCCUGAGUAAAAACCUUAGCAUACAGACGGGCUUGGUAUCGCUCCACAGUACCAUCAACUCGAGUCUUGAUCUUAUAAACCCAGCGACACCCAAUAAUAGAUUUACCAGGAGGAAAAUCAACCAGGUCCCAAGUGUGCGUCCUAUCAAGAGCCUGUAGUUCUUUAGUAUAGUUUGCUACCAAAGGGGGUUAAUGCUUGCCUCACAAUAAGAACGAGGCUCAUAUUAGGCUAAAAUAGUGGCAAAACAAUGAUAGUCUCGAAGAUAAGAAGGUACUUCCCUUACCUGAGUGGAACGACGAACAGGAAGAUCACUAGGUAGAUGAACAUGAGGUGGUACUAGAGGAGCCGGAAUCAGUGGACGAGGACUCCACGCGGAUAGACAAUAGUCGGUGGCCGCACAUGGAGAGAUCAUCAGGAGGAAGCAGGGACAUCAACAUCCUCGGAAAAAACUAAGGAAGGAUUAGUAAGGUAGGAGGAGCGGAAGACGAGGACAGCGAAAGAAGCAAAGAGGAAAACAUCUUAUGUUCUCAAAAAAAACGUGACGAGCUACUCGAAGACGACGAGACAAAGGACCCAAUAACGAAUAUGCUUUUAUGUCAAUCACAUACCAAGAAGCCAAAUAGCGAGACAUAGGCUCUAGUUAGUUCGCUCAUGUGGUUGUAAUAGGACAAAGCAAGCACAACCAAAAACACGGAGGAAUGAUAAUUGCGUCUAGAGUACCAUAUUAGACGCCAUAUGGUGAGGUUACCAAAGGAAGGUGGUGAGAGGAACUUGAUUAAGAGGUUGUAAGCAGUGGUGAGAGAAGCUUCCCCCCAAAAUCUUGGACAACCAGAAGAAAUUAGUAGAGCACGAAAUAGUAUCAAGUAAAGGUGGUUUGUUUACGUUACGCGCCACUUAUGGUGUGUGUUUGAAGACACGGGUGGUAAGAUCGGUGGAAGAGUGCCUUAUGCUCGUAAAAGAGGACAAGGAAAGAGGUAUUCAACAAAUCUUGAGCAUUGUCUGAGGGGGGAAAAUCUUGAUAUCACGUGAAAAAUGGGGUGUUGAUCAUGCGAGCAAAAUCAUAAUAGGUUUGUGUAAUUGGGAUUGAUUCUUUAAGAGGUUUAUUAAGCUAAGUAUAUCGAGGAGAAAUGCAAUCACCAAAAUAGAACAAAAUACUGGGAACCUCCACAUAGUGAAGAAGUGGAAGAAGGUCUCCAAAUAUCAGAUAAACAAUUCAAAAGGCGUAGAGGGGAGACAGUAAGAGCCUUUAUUAAAAGAUAACGCAGGUUAUUUAGCAAGUUGACAAGAUGAAAUCAAUGUGUUCAUUAACAGUAGGAUUUAAGACACCUUUAGAUACAAGAAAACCUAAUCGACCUAAGGGCACAUGACCAGUAAAAGGAGAGUGCCAAAAUCUGAAGGAUGGUGACGAAAAGAAGACGAGCAGACGUGGCGACAGUAGUAAGUUGUAGUCAGGUAGUAGAAAUAGGAAGGUGAAAUGUAUGAGCUAGAACAAGCGAUUGCCUACGCCUAUCCAAGAGUCUAAUCCGUGCCGCAGGAUCCUGGACAAACAACCAGUGAAGCAAAAAGAACAGAAGUCCAAGAUCACCAUAGUUGACCACAAAAACAAGAUUAAGUUGCAAGUUACGAAAAUAGUCAGUAGGGAAAGGAACCAAAGCAAAAAGUAGAGACAUGCCUACAUGAUCAACAGUCAUAGAGGACCAUUAGCAGCCAUAGAGUAAAAAGAAUAAAGGACUCACAUGAUUUAGAGGAGAAGAUAGAUAAAUUAGAGGUCAUAUGAUUACUACAUCCAGAGUCAAAGUACCAUGGAGAUAUACCUGUGGAGGCAGACAAGGCAGUAGAAGGAUUAUCGAAAGCUGACAGAAUCUGCUUAAUAAGAGCAGGAAGAUCACUAACAUCAAUCAGCGUAGGAAAGGGAAGUAGUAGAAGAAACCUCAACAGUAGCAGUAGUAGACUGAGGACGAGUGUCUCAACGGGUAGGGUUAUUGGGACAAUCGGACUUAUACUGGGCCCAGGACCUCGCUGGCCGAUAGGGUUUGCAAACCGAACAGGACAAGUAAGCAAGUGAUGGUUAGUAGCAUGACAAAAGUGCACUCAUUGCUGGGAGACUGAACUAGAGUGAUUGAGUUACCGAGUGAAAAACAUCGAGAACCAUAGAGAAGCCAAACCUCUGGAAUCAAGAGCAGCAAGAGUAGUGUCCACAUGGGGAAGUCGGAAAACAGGCCAAGACGAGUCUUCCUCAGAUAACAGCUCAGAGAUAGCCUAAUCUAAUGUAGGAAGAGGAUUGCGAUAAAGGAGGGAUUGAACCGGCUCAUAUAUAUCAAAGAGCCCAUAAGAAAUUAGAAUAAAGACACUGUUGAUCUUGAUAGGUUGGUAGGGAAUUACAGCACAUAACCACUAGGUCGGACUGAGUCAAUGGUCCCAUAUAAAAUAUCUAAGGAAAUGAAAGCACUGAUAGACUGUCCAGGUCUUGUCUUUGUCGCACAGAGAAGUCAGAAAGCUGAUAUUGACAAGCCACCAAGAUCAGCCGAGUAUAUCUGGUGGCUAGAAAAUCUUAAAUUUUUUUUUUGUUUUUUUAGCAUGAGCAGUGGCAAUCGCCCAAACUGUAGAUUGACAGAAGGAAUAGAAGUAUUACGGAUCCACGUGACAUUUGGUAAUUUUCCUAUCUCAGUCUCUAGCGGACAAGGAAUCAUAGACACGUCUCGUAGUCAACCGCGGUUCGGUGGGGCCGUUAUAUCACCGGGCAGUAACGUAAUGCCAAAGUUUUUCUUUCCCCUUGAGGAAAAUUGGGAUAUCGCCUCAAACCAUGGAUAUAUUGAGACAGUCCAAGAGUGAAUACAUAGGUCUAGGAAACUUCAGAUCAGCCAUAAUGUCAGCUAAGAAGCACAGUUAUCCAAACCAUACGAAAAUCAUAGAAAAUAGUGCAACAUAGCAACUACAUAGUACGAAGUCGAAAUAGCAAAAAGUCUGAAUGCGAAAACAAAUCCAGAGACCAAAUUACUCAAGGACAGUAAAAAAAAAAAAAACUGGGAAACCAAAGAUGAAGAAUUGCAAACUCCAAGACCUGAACUAUCAAAAUCAGAAACUUUAGGCCAAAUUGAAAAAUUAAAAUAUCAGGGCCAGACUCUCUUUAUCAAUUACACACAGACGUGACUGGUAUAAGAAUCAGGGCUGACUCCACAGGAUGCAAGGCUGACGUCCAAGCGUUGCGCUGCAGGUCAGCGGCUCAACAUCAACACAGGGACUACGUCAACAAUGCGGUCCCCGCACGGGCACGGUGAUCGUGGUCAUUGCUACAAAGCGUGAGAUCGAACAAGCGCAGAAUGAAUUUUUUUGGUGCGGCACGUGCUAGCGCGUGUAUAGUCUUCCGCGCUGUUCUCGGAGUUUUAAUGAGCUUAGAAUUGCACGAGGAACACAAUGAUUUGUUUAAUAUCGAUUCGAAUAGAUUUUUUGUUUCACAGAAAUAGGGCAGGUUAUACGAAAAAUAACAAGCAAAAUAGUGGGCAAAAUGGACUAAUGGAAGACACGGGACGUCGGGGAAUGGAUGAUAUCAAUUGAAGAAAAAACCUCACCAACAGCGUAAUUCUCCGAAUGGAAUAGUUUAUGGAAAAUGUCAAACUAGAACUGAAGAUAAAACCUAGGCGUACUCGAGGGGACACGUACCCACGUGGUUUAGAUGGGCAAAAGUUCCAAAGCAGUAGUACCAUUUUCACUAACGUGUAAACAGAAUAGAAAUUUGCAAGGACAAAUACUUAUUACUGAAACUCGACUCAAACUACCGGGCCACAUCCGCGAACCGACCUGUGGAAACUUCAACAAAAAAUUUCACUCCUGUUAAUUCCAAUGAAGUAGGACAUGAACUUGCAGUGUAAAGAGUAUAAUGGGGUAGCUGAAUUUAAGUUAAAAGGGAUUAUUUAAAAGCAGAAGUUGAAAAACAUUAAAAUGAAA